rnacentral:rRNA from 1 species
AGCAGUCGCCGCGGGAAUACGUAGGUGGCAAGCGUUGUCCGGAAUUAUUGGGCGUAAAGGGCUCGCAGGCGGUUUCUUAAGUCUGAUGUGUAAGCCCCCGGCUCAACCGGGGGGGUCAUUGGAAACUGGGAAACUUGAGUGCAGAAGAGGAGAGUGGAAUUCCACGUGUAGCGGUGAAAUGCGUAGAGAUGUGGAGGAACACCAGUGGCGAAGGCGACUCUCUGGUCUGUAACUGACGCUGAGGAGCGAAAGCGUGGGGAGCGAACAGGAUUAGAUACCCCUGUAGUCCCUGUCUCUUAUACA